CGCAUGUUCCCUUAGACGUGUGCUGUUAAGCUUAUGAACACUUCAUUUUUUUUUUCUCUCUCUUUCUACUUUGUUGGCUGGAUGAGCAAAUACCAUCUGACAGGUUGCAAAGGGUUUUUACACUAUGGGGAGGUGGGUUGGGCUUAUGUGUGUUAGAGCGCAAGCCACAGAGAUUGAUGCAUUUCGACAGCUGUGUGUGUGUUGGGCAAGUCUGCAGAUCUGGUUGGGUGAGACCGGGCUAUAUAAAAGGGCGGAUCACAAAUCGGAAGCUUUCUCCGUAGUUCCAGUCUCCCGUCACACUGUUGGGUACCCAAACUACCCAGGUGCUCUUUGGUUGGCUGGGCGCUAGAUGGUUGGAGUUUAGCCCGGCCAGUUGGAGUAGCAGCCACAGGAUCUUUACCACCACAGAGCCUGUGGAAGGUGUGGAAGAUCCAACUGGUAUUUUUUUUUUUAUUUUUUUACGACUGCAUUCCGGACCACUUUUUGCCCUGGAGCAAGUCGGAAACCCUGAAUUUCAAGUCAUUUUUAUUUGCCGCGUUCCUCCUUUUUGCCUGAACAAAAGGGUGUAAUCGCAACCAGGUUGGCAGAUGAAUCCCUCACGUUUCUACCUUCCCUGCACACUGCCAGCUUUUCCCCUUGCCUCCCCAGUGAAAUUGUUGUUAUUGAUGCGAUGUUCACGGAUUGGAGAACUUCGACAUAAGACCCACGUUAUUGGUCAUGGAGAGAGAUACAUUUAGAUGGUGGCAUAAUGAGUUAAUUAGGAUCUCUUUAGUGCUGGUGUUGGUCCCCCCCACACACAGCUGGUCCUGUUUACUUGACAUGUGAGUUGGAGCACUAUCGCUCAGUUUUCCGCAUCUCGCAGAAAUGUACUUCAAAGCAAGCCACUCAAGCAGUUGGAAGUAAAGAAAAAAUACAAUUGAACACUUUUUAAAGUCCUGAAUUUAGUGUUUGGAGGGAAUUCCUUAAAUUGGCAUGAUGACAAUCAAGAUCACCACUCAUUACAUGUGAUUAUCUUCAGAGGCUGAAUGAAUUUAACGUUUUUCGACUCGAGUCCAAGUUCACGGCUUCGUGAAUAACAGCAUUGUUUCCCUCGUCAGAUCUAGUUCAGACAUGCUGAUUGGGGGUUAUUACAUUUUUUUUUUUUUUUUUUUUAAGGUUCUGAGAAAUGGUGUCGGGUCCAAAACCAGACCAGAUGUUAGUUCUGAUCUGGAUGGGUUUGUCUGUAACGAGACUAGACUACACGGGAUAUGACCAGAUCAGGAAGACUGGGUUUGUUCAUAGUCCUCGCCUCAGGCAAGAACUGUUCCCUUCCUCAAAGCCGUUCAGAUGGUUUGAGUUUAUUUGCAAGCAUAGAAAACUGCCUCGUUUCUCAUUAUGCCAGUCUGUCGCCGGUAUCAAACUUGAAGAGAGGCUUUGGUUUCAUUUGUCUCCAGACCAGACCUGCAUCAACACACCACUGCCCAAAGAAACCAACCCCAGAUCUACUACAGACAUGAUCAUCAGACUGGGCAGGCUGACCCCUGGAUACUUCCGCCUCCUACAGAGACAGGUGGCCGGUGAGGUGCAGACCCAGCCACAGGACCGCGCGGUCAACCAGAUAGCCAUGAUGCUGGCCAUCAUGGGCCUGAGCCUGUCCUACUACAGUGCCAAACGGAUGACCGAGAAGGUCCAGAGGCUCCAGAAGAGAAGAGAUCCCCAUACACCCUGAAGAGACCCCUCCCCCCAGUGCGCCGGUCCUCUUUGAACCUGGAGAGAAGACGAACCAACGCGAAAACGAGGAGAGGAGAGUUGACAGUGUCGGUGUCCAGAACAACACCUUUUCACAACCAAUCAGUCAUAGUCACGUCGUUCAGACACUGGAGUUUUACUGGGAUCACUCUCAAUGCGAGGAGAGUUCGGGGUCUGCUGUUGUUAAGGGUAUCUUAAUUUUUCACCCCAAUGGAUGUUGGGAGGACCUUGUGGGGGAGUGUGUAUGUGGGAAAGGCUGACGGUGGGGUUCGUGUGGUCCUGAUAAAGUUUGGGGGGUAAAAAGUACAACCAUCUGUCUAUGGUCAGGCUGGGCCCGUGCUUCAGUCGUUGCCAAGGUACAUGCGUGCAGGAUGCCGUCAAUACUGUUCUGAGCUAAAAAGGAUAAAGAAAUGCUAAACUAAUUAUUCUAAUGUACUGUGAAUCUCUUGCCAGUGCUCCAAGUAUAUGACAGCUUGUCUAAAAUAACUGAGCGGUAAUUAUUUUUGAGGGAAUGCUUUCUGCAUUUGAGAUGUAUCUAGUAAUGACUGAAGGUGGGCCUGUAGUGUGGCUGAAAGUGGGGAGAAAGGAACCCUCUUAGGUUUUUGUAAUUCCUUUAUUGUUAAAAAAAAUUAAAGUGAGCCAUGUGAACUAGAUGUGGAGGAGUCUCAAACUGGUCAAUAAUUCCACACAUGUUCAAUAUCUGUUAAUGUCAGACACAAACAACCGUACAUUACUGGUGAAAUGCAGUAUUUUAACGUUUUGGGAAGUUGCUUAUCCAAAUCUACGAAGAAAAAAAAGGCACGUAAAUCAGUCUUGAUAAAAAUGGGUGGCUUUCUUUUAAAGAACUCGAUCUGCAAUAGCUACUAGGUGUUACCACAAAUAUUCUAACUUCAGUAAACGUUGCAUGGGUAUGCAGCUUUUAAUAUCUUCGUUAAUACUGUCACGUUUUAGUUUUUUAAAGGACGAUGACCAUGAAUGUAUAUUUCUGUGAUGUUUUAUAGAAAUCGAAUAAAGCUGUGACUUGAAUAAUAAGAACCGUGGCAGUUUAGUAAUGAUUUUAAGGUGUUUGGGAAUUUUGGAAAAACCGACGUGAACAAGCAUUUUAUCACAAUAUUUAUAUUUUGUUAAGGGGAACUUCUUUAAUCUCUAAAUUUUUCUGUGAAACGAUGAUAUUGCCCCACCAUUUCAGCUCAAUAGCUGCUUGGUUGGAUUUGGCAUAAUAGACUCUGUAGCACCACUUCCUGUAUCAUAGGGUGUCUGGUGUCCGCAGGAGCGUGCCGUCUGCACGCAACAGGAAGUGUUCAGGCCUCCAGACAGUCGUUGUCUUCAUCAUAACUGGGGCAUCUGUAUCUGUCUGUAGUCUGUACCAGUUUGCCCUCAGGGAAAGUCGCAGGGCAAAGUUUUAAUCUAUACCGAACAAAAAUAUAAACGCAAUAAUUUCAAUGAUUUUACAGUUCAUAUAAGGAAAUCGGUUUAUUGAAAGAAAAUUGCCCCUAAUCUAUGGAUUUCACAUGACUGGGCAGGGGUGCAGCCAUGAGUGGGCCUGGGAGAGCAUAGGCCCACCCACUUGGGAGACUGGCCCAGCCACUGGCAGCCAGGCCCAGCCACUGGCAGCCAGGCCCAGCCAAUCAGAAUGAGUUUUUCACCACAAAGGGCUUUAAUGCAUACAGAAAUACUCCUCAGUUUCAUCAGCUGUCCGGGUGGCUGGUCUCAGACGAUCCCGCAGGUGAAGAAGCCAGAUGUGGAGGUCCUGGGCUGGCAUUGUUACACGUGGUCUGCGGUUGUGAGAUCGGUUGGAUGUACUGCUAAUUCUCUAAAAUGACGUUGGAGGCGCCUUAUAGUAGAGAAAUUAACAUUAAUUUAUCUGGCAACAGCUCCGGUGGACGUUCUUGCAGUCAGCAUCCCAGUUGCACGCUCCCUCAAAACUUGAGACAUCUGUGGCAUUGUGUUGUGUGACAAAACUGCACAUUUUAGAGUGGCCUUUUAUUGUCCCCAGCACAAGCUGCACCUGCGUAAUGAUCAUGUUUAAUCAGCUUCUUGAUAUGCCACACCUGUCGGGUGGAUGGAUUAUCUUGGCAAAGGAAAUAUGCUCACUAACAGGGAUGUAAACAAAUUUGUCCCCAAAAUUUGAGGUAAAUACGCUUUCUGUGCAUUUGGAAAGUUUCUGGGAUAUUUUAUUUCAGCUCAUGAAACAUGGGACCAACACUUUACAUGCUGUGUUUAUAUUUUUGUUCAGUAUGUUUUGCUUUUACUGUCAGACAGUUUAUUAAUACAGAAAAUCAGUCAAAUCUGAAUUGUUACUGUAUGUUCUCCAAUGGCACUCAUUUUAGAACGUGUACAGAUUAUAAAUCCUGAGGGUUGGAGGAAGACUCAUGCACUGGUUAAACAUCAGCGCCAUUCUGAGGCCCUCCCUUGUCUGUUCCAUGUUCUCUACAGAAUGUUCUCUUCUAUAGCUGGGUAGACUGUAUAGAAGCUAUGCAUCUGAGGUACUUCUAGCAUGACCAUGUUAGGGAGGGUGAGAGGAUAGAGUAGUGGUGACUGGUGAGGACUUCAGAUAAGAGGGACGGGGGUUGAAAGCUGUUUGUGUAUGGCUUGUUGAUUCACCAGUCCAGUUCUUUAUACAGGUUAUUUUGAAGAAUGCUGAAGUCUUGUCAGUACUAAAUAAGAAAAUUGUUGGAAUGGCACACUCGUGAGUUGGUACAAUGGAUCUAAGGAAUAGUUUAUUUCCUCAUUGUCUUCCUUUAGAGUUUAGGAAGAUGAGUAUAAAGGAGAUAGAUAUUGAGCUCUGAAAAAAUAUAUAAGUUAUAAGAAUGUUUUCAUGAUCGAAGGAUCAUUGCUUGCUUUUAAGUGAUGUUUGUCAGAACUAGGAUAAAGUAUGUCUAGUGUUAGAAUGUUCAAUGUUGAGUGGUAUGGAAUUUGUGUUCAAAUAGUUAUAUGAAUAGGUUUAACCUGUCGCAUAAUAGAGAAGUCUGAAUUGUACUUGUUUUGGUUGGCUUUUGGAAACCAGUCUGAUAGAUUAGCCCCAAGCCACCAAUAGCAAUAAUGAAACUGUUAGCACUUUUAGCAGUAGACAUAAUAUUGUCGAUUUCCCUCCGAAUUAUCUUCAGUCAGGCGGAUAGCUUGAUCAACUGGGGAUCACACCAAAAUCGCUUUGUUUAUUCAUCGCGAGCCCAGAG
rnacentral:lncRNA from 1 species